rnacentral:lncRNA from 1 species
UAGCGUUAAUUUAGGAUGGAAAAUCAGCAAAUAUUCCGUUUGGUAUAUAUUAUGUAACAAAAACAUGGGAUAUGAGGGUAAUAAACAAACAAUGCAAAUAAUGGUAGUAAGGUUUGCUAUAUGGGAUGUAUAGGUAAAAAUCCCUUGUAAAAAUCCCUAAAAACAAAUCUAGGAAAGGGAGCAAAAGGGCCUGAAGCACACAAAGCCUGGUCUGGACCAAGCAGCCUCAUUUGGGCCAUUAAUAGGCCUAGUCGCUUCUAAAGAAGGUCAUUCAACAUGUAACUCAUGAGGCUUAUUCCACAUAUAAACGGUCAUCUUCACAAAUUCUAAAAAAUCACAAAUGUUGAACAAUUUAUUCUACAGCCUUCCCAAUUUAUUGAUAUGUCAUGAGUGAUACAAUAUUAAUCCUAGACUGUUUACUGAGGCGUUAAGAUCAAUCAUAUAAGCAUUUCGACCAUAAUUACAAUUCUAAAAAAAAUCAUGAUUUGAUAAUUGAACAUUGAACAAACUUUUGAAAAUGCCUGAACGUAGACUUCAAAAUUUAAGAAAAGAGAGAAAGAUCAUGAUCUACACGCUAUUAACCAUGACCCUCACAGCAAACAAUCCAAGAAAUGGGCUAGUGAUAUUAUAGUCAUUUCGUGAAUUUCCAAGUGAAUCCAACACUGGACUGAAAAUCAACACAGAACUAAAUUCUAACAUGACUAACAAAGAUGUUCAUCUCGUGAUUUUAACCAAUACAUACAGAAAACUCAAGUAUUCAGAAAUGUGCCUUAAAUUAAUGAGAGAAAUAAGAUACAUAAACAGUGAGAUGCAUACUUAAACCAUACUUAAAGAAGAGAUACAAAAAAAAAAAAGAGAAACAGCAUGUAGAAGAGAGCUAAAACUAAUGAAGAGGGUGGAUGAACUUGAAAGAAAUAUGGCAUGAUUCAAUGGAAGUGCCUACUGCAUAUUAACACAAUAAAAUGCUCAAUUCUUGAGCUCAUUCAUACAUUAUCUUAAUCUUAAACAUACCAUUAAUAUGACAUUGUUGGACUCAAGGUGACUCAAUUGAUAAUACAUAUACAUAUAAUAUGCAAUCAACAAUUUCCCACCAUAGUCCUAAUAAAUUACAACUGACAUAUUGGUACUGAUUUAAACCUCGAAUCCUUUAACUUCAUGAAACAUACUAGAGAAUAGAACACCUAGUCUAAACUGAAGUAAAUAAUUACAUAACCAAAUAAAUAACAACUAUCAAAUGAAAAAGAAGAUAUGAAGGUCCAUCUCAAGUCACAUAUAUCAAAAACUUCAAUUUGUCAUUUUAGGGCUCAAUGAAGAUACCUGGAUAUCGCAAUAAAAGAAAAGAAAAUUCUGUAGCCUACAAAAUGAACAAUAACAAGAUAUCAGCAGCAGGAACAAUAGUGAUAAUCGGAACAAAAAAACUUCAAAUAACCAGCUAUUUUCAGUCUGGAAAACCUAAAAUCCUCAUGAAAACCAUUUAAGUUCUAAGCGAAAAAUCAGAAAGUAAUUCGAGCCCCCUUUUUCCAGUGUUUUUCAGUUUUGAAGAUCUAUAUCAGUGUCUGUUUU